UUAAAGAUUUAUCGGUGAAAGAUGAGCAUGCGUCCCAUUAGYUAGUUGGUAAGGUAACGGCUUACCAAGNCAACGAUGGGUAGGGGUCCUGAGAGGGAGAUCCCCCACACUGGUACUGAGACACGGACCAGACUCCUACGGGAGGCAGCAGUGAGGAAUAUUGGACAAUGGGCGCAAGCCUGAUCCAGCCAUGCCGCGUGCAGGAUGACGGUCCUAUGGAUUGUAAACUGCUUUUAUACNAGAAGAAACANUNCNACGUGUNGNANCUUGACGGUANNGUAAGAAUAAGGAUCGGCUAACUCCGUGCCAGCAGCCGCGGUAAUACGGAGGAUCCAAGCGUUAUCCGGAAUCAUUGGGUUUAAAGGGUCCGUAGGCGGUCAGNUAAGUCAGUGGUGAAAGCCCAUCGCUCAACGGUGGAACGGCCAUUGAUACUGUCUGACUUGAAUUAUUAGGAAGUAACUAGAAUAUGUAGUGUAGCGGUGAAAUGCUUAGAGAUUACAUGGAAUACCAAUUGCGAAGGCAGGUUACUACUAAUNNAUUGACGCUGAUGGACGAAAGCGUGGGUAGCGAACAGGAUUAGAUACCCUGGUAGUCCACGCCGUAAACGAUGGAUACUAGCUGUUGGGNGCAANNUCAGUGGCUAAGCGAAAGUGAUAAGUAUCCCACCUGGGGAGUACGUUCGCA
rnacentral:rRNA from 1 species